UACGUAGGGUGCAAGCGUUAAUCGGAAUUACUGGGCGUAAAGCGUGCGCAGGCGGUUUUGUAAGUUUGUCGUGAAAUCCCCGGGCUCAACCUGGGAAUGGCGAUGAAGACUGCAAGGCUAGAGUUUGGCAGAGGGGGGUAGAAUUCCGACGUGUAGCAGUGAAAUGCGUAGAGAUGUGGAGGAACACCGAUGGCGAAGGCAGCCCCCUGGGUCAAGAUUGACGCUCAUGCACGAAAGCGUGGGGAACAAAACAGG
rnacentral:rRNA from 1 species